rnacentral:rRNA from 1 species
AGAAUCAACGCUGGCGGCGUGCCUAACACAUGCAAGUCGAUCGAGAAAGUGGAGCAAUCCAUGAGUAAAGAGGCGCACGGGUGAGUAACACGUGACUAACCUACCCUCGAGUGGGGAAUAACCUGGGGAAACCCGGGCUAAUACCGCAUAAUACCCACGGGUCAAAGGAGCAAUUCGCUUGAGGAGGGGGUCGCGGCAGAUUAGUUAGUUGGCGGGGUAAUGGCCCACCAAGACGAUGAUCUGUAUCCGGCCUGAGAGGGCGCACGGACACACUGGAACUGAAACACGGUCCAGACUCCUACGGGAGGCAGCAGUGGGAAUUUUGCGCAAUGGGGGAAACCCUGACGCAGCAACGCCGCGUGGAGGAUGAAGUCCCUUGGGACGUAACUCCUUUCGACCGGGACGAUAAUGACGGUACCGGAUGAAGAAGCCCCGGCUAACUUCGUGCCAGCAGCCGC